rnacentral:lncRNA from 10 species
UUGAAGGAUCAGUAAUUGUUGCUAUCAAAAUCAGGUUAUGACCCAGGACAGCCACAGCCAGAGAACACUCACAUAAUAGCAUCAUAAGGCUCAAUGUCACAAUGAUCUGGGAAGGGCAACUAGCCAUAGGCACUGCUAUUUGGUUCAGAGAAGCACCAAUUAAUUCGACUGCUCUCUGAUCCACUUGAAGAACUCAGCUGGAAAUCAAACAAAGCCAACCUAAAAAAAAACGUCUAACACUAGAGAAUUAGAGUUUGUCAAAGGUGUUAAAAAUAAAAUGAGUGUGAAUGUCCUACAAGGUUUAUGAGAAAGUUCAGAAGGAAAGUAAAGAAAGACUAAGCAGCAAGACUUUUAGUAUUCCUGUAUCCUGGAGAAGGCAGCACUCGAGCCACCAUCUUGGAAGUGAAGAUCAGGCCCUCAGCAGACACAAAACCUGCCAGUGCCAUGAUCUUGGAUUUUUCAACCUGCAGGACUGUUGAGGACCUAACCUCCAAUGGGACUGU